CCUACGGGAGGCAGCAGUGGGGAAUCUUGCGCAAUGGGCGAAAGCCUGACGCAGCAACGCCGCGUGCGGGAUGAAGGCCUUCGGGCUGUAAACCGCUUUCAGCAGGAACGAAAAUGACGGUACCUGCAGAAGAAGGAGCGGCCAACUACGUGCCAGCAGCCGCGGUGACACGUAGGCUCCAAGCGUUGUCCGGAUUUAUUGGGCGUAAAGAGCUCGUAGGCGGUUUAAUAAGUCGGGUGUGAAAACUCUGGGCUCAACCCGGAGACGCCAUCCGAUACUGUUAUGACUUGAGUUCAGGAGGGGAGCGGGGAAUUCCUAGUGUAGCGGUGAAAUGCGCAGAUAUUAGGAGGAACACCGGUGGCGAAGGCGCCGCUCUGGACUGAAACUGACGCUGAGGAGCGAAAGCAUGGGUAGCAAACAGGAUUAGAUACCCUGGUAGUCCAUGCCGUAAACGGUGGGCACUAGGUGUGGGUUUCAACUAACGAAAUCCGCGCCGUCGCUAACGCAUUAAGUGCCCCGCCUGGGGAGUACGGUCGCAAGACUAAAACUUAAAGGAAUUGACGG
rnacentral:rRNA from 1 species